rnacentral:lncRNA from 1 species
UAAGAACGCAUUGCAGGUCAGCUGGCUGAACCUCAUUGUGACCUGGGAGCCCUGCAUGAUGAAGGGAUGAUGGGUGAGCUACCAAGGCUAACUUUUUCCUGAGGACAUUGAGUUAGGGAAGUGGCCUCUCCUUGAGGGAAGGAGCCAGAUGACUUCUCAGAGAACAACAACCAUAUUCAAAAUAUUCUCAAGUUUCUUUUGUUUCUUCUUGUCUGCAUCUGAUAUCCAGGACAUUAUUCCACAGGAAAAGGUUAACAGGAGAUCAAGAUCGGCCAGGAGAACCCCACUAUGAAGCCGGUCAGGUGGGGAGACAGCACUUCCAUUCUCUUUAAAUGACAGAAAUGUCUAAUUUCUGAGACUCUCUGUCUUGUGGAGCACUGUCGUCUUCAUGGACACAGGCAGGAUGGCAAGGCUAAGAGGAGGAUUGCAAGUGAUUCAGGUUGGAGGAAAUAUUGGGGGAAAGAAAUUUUCUCAGACUGCCCUUCCGACGUGGCAUGGAUCGUGGAGAAGGGUCUGGCUCUUAUCACCUCUGAAUAGCAUGCCAUUCUCUUAG